UACGUAUGGUGCAAGCGUUAUCCGGAUUUACUGGGUGUAAAGGGAGCGCAGGCGGCGCGGCAAGUCUGAUGUGAAAGCCCGGGGCCCAACCCCGGGACUGCACUGGAAACUGCCGUGCUGGAGUGUCGGAGGGGUAAGCGGAAUUCCUGGUGUAGCGGUGAAAUGCGUAGAUAUCAGGAGGAACACCGGUGGCGAAGGCGGCUUACUGGACGAUGACUGACGCUGAGGCACGAAAGUGUGGGGAGCAAACAGG
rnacentral:rRNA from 1 species